rnacentral:rRNA from 1 species
GUGUCAGCAGCCGCGGUAAUACGUAGGGUGCGAGCGUUAAUCGGAAUUACUGGGCGUAAAGCGUGCGCAGGCGGUUAUAUAAGACAGAUGUGAAAUCCCCGGGCUCAACCUGGGACCUGCAUUUGUGACUGUAUAGCUAGAGUGCGGCAGAGGGGGAUGGAAUUCCGCGUGUAGCAGUGAAAUGCGUAGAUAUGCGGAGGAACACCGAUGGCGAAGGCAAUCCCCUGGGCCUGCACUGACGCUCAUGCACGAAAGCGUGGGGAGCAAACAGGAUUAGAUACCCUGGUAGUCCACGCCCUAAACGAUGUCAACUGGUUGUUGGGUCUUCACUGACUCAGUAACGAAGCUAACGCGUGAAGUUGACCGCCUGGGGAGUACGGCCGCAAGGUUGAAACUCAAAUGAAUUGACGGGG